rnacentral:snoRNA from 1 species
CCCCUCUGAGGGUGGCACCUGGAGAGUUUCCAGUACUCUUCCAGUCAUUACUACAGGAGGUAGAGUCAAGCAGAGGCCUCCCCAUUCCAUUCCUAGCUUGGGGAGUGGCUAGUGAGUGGAAGGCAAUCUGCUACAAGU